UACCUUGUGCUCGCCGAAGGUAUUCAUCUCUUCAUGCGAAUGAAAGGAUGGAUUUAAACGGGAAUCCGGUGACCGUGCCCCGUGCACGUAUUCCGGAGCUGCCCCGCAGCGGUGAAUGGAAACGACCUCCGCCAACAGCACUGGGCCACGGCCUGGGAAGCGGCGGACACUAGGUGGGCGGCAACGCCCGUGUCCAACAGCCCGAAUACCGGCCCCGGCCGGAGGACCUGC
rnacentral:ncRNA from 1 species